AUACGGAGGAUGCGAGCGUUAUCCGGCUUUAUUGGGUUUAAAGGGAGCGUAGGUGGGAUAUUAAGUCAGCUGUGAAAGUUUGGGGCUCAACCUUAAAAUUGCAGUUGAUACUGGUUUCCUUGAGUACGGUACAGGUGGGCGGCAUUCGUGGUGUAGCGGUGGAAUGCUUAGAUAUCACGAAGAACUCCGAUCGCGAAGGCAGCUCACCGGGCCGGAACUGACACUGAUGCUCGAAAGUGCGGGUAUCAAACAGGAUUAGAUACCCUGGUAGUCCGCACAGUAAACGAUGAAUACUCGCUGUUUGCGAUACACUGUAAGCGGCCAAGCGAAAGCGUUAAGUAUUCCACCUGGGGAGUACGCCGGCAACGGUGAAACUCAAAUGAAUUGGCGGGG
rnacentral:rRNA from 1 species